rnacentral:lncRNA from 1 species
UUCACUGUUUUAAUUAACACGGUCGUGUUCCUGCACACGGGCGCCCGUGUUAAUCCACUAUUUUAAUUAACACGGCCGUGUGUCACAACACGGGUGGCCGUGUGGAUUCCCAGUAUUCCCUCUUGCCAGCAUAACACGGGCCGUGUGUCACCACACGGGUGGCCGUGUGGAUGACCUGUUUUCCUCAAUUUUUGAAUUUUGCUAUGCUUCAUAGGUAUGGUAUCCUUUCGCUGAGAGGUGAUUAUGACUAUACUCUCCAAGUUCUACUCCUUU